AGACCCGAAACCCGGUGAUCUAGCCAUGGGCAGGUUGAAGGUUGGGUAACACUAACUGGAGGACCGAACCGACUAAUGUUGAAAAAUUAGCGGAUGACCUGUGGCUGGGGGUGAAAGGCCAAUCAAACCGGGAGAUAGCUGGUUCUCCCCGAAAGCUAUUUAGGUAGCGCCUCGUGAAUUCAUCUCCGGGGGUAGAGCACUGUUUCGGCUAGGGGGCCAUCCCGGCUUACCAACCCGAUGCAAACUGCGAAUACCGGAGAAUGUUAUCACGGGAGACACACGGCGGGUGCUAACGUCCGUCGUGAAGAGGGAAACAACCCAGACCGCCAGCUAAGGUCCCAAAGUCAUGGUUAAGUGGGAAACGAUGUGGGAAGGCCCAGACAGCCAGGAUGUUGGCUUAGAAGCAGCCAUCAUUUAAAGAAAGCGUAAUAGCUCACUGGUCGAGUCGGCCUGCGCGGAAGAUGUAACGGGGCUAAACCAUGCACCGAAGCUGCGGCAGCGACACUCAGGUGUUGUUGGGUAGGGGAGCGUUCUGUAAGUCUGCGAAGGUGGCCUGUGAGGGUUGCUGGAGGUAUCAGAAGUGCGAAUGCUGACAUAAGUAACGAUAAAGCGGGUGAAAAGCCCGCUCGCCGGAAGACCAAGGGUUCCUGUCCAACGUUAAUCGGGGCAGG
rnacentral:rRNA from 1 species